AUUGAACGCUGGCGGCAGGCUUAACACAUGCAAGUCGAGCGGAGAGAGGUAGCUUGCUACUGAUCUUAGCGGCGGACGGGUGAGUAAUGCUUAGGAAUCUGCCUAUUAGUGGGGGACAACAUUUCGAAAGGAAUGCUAAUACCGCAUACGUCCUACGGGAGAAAGCAGGGGAUCUUCGGACCUUGCGCUAAUAGAUGAGCCUAAGUCGGAUUAGCUAGUUGGUGGGGUAAAGGCCUACCAAGGCGACGAUCUGUAGCGGAUCUGAGAGGAUGAUCCGCCACACUGGGACUGAGACACGGCCCAGACUCCUACGGGAGGCAGCAGUGGGGAAUAUUGGACAAUGGGCGCAAGCCUGAUCCAGCCAUGCCGCGUGUGUGAAGAAGGCCUUAUGGUUGUAAAGCACUUUAAGCGAGGAGGAGGCUACUUUAGUUAAUACCUAGAGAUAGUGGACGUUACUCGCAGAAUAAGCACCGGCUAACUCUGUGCCAGCAGCCGCAGUAAGAC
rnacentral:rRNA from 1 species